rnacentral:rRNA from 1 species
AGUGAACGCUGGCGGUAGGCCUAACACAUGCAAGUCGAACGGCAGCACAGUAAGAGCUUGCUCUUACGGGUGGCGAGUGGCGGACGGGUGAGGAAUACAUCGGAAUCUACUUUUUCGUGGGGGAUAACGUAGGGAAACUUACGCUAAUACCGCAUACGACCUACGGGUGAAAGCAGUGGAUCUUCGGACCUUGCGCGAUUGAAUGAGCCGAUUUCGGAUUAGCUAGUUGGCGGGGUAAAUGCCCACCAAGGCGACGAUCCGUAGCUGGUCUGAGAGGAUGAUCAGCCACACUGGAACUGAGACACGGUCCAGACUCCUACGAGAGGCAGCAGUGGGGAAUAUUGGACAAUGGGCGCAAGCCUGAUCCAGCCAUACCGCGUGGGUGAAGAAGGCCUUCGGGUUGUAAAGCCCUUUUGUUGGGAAAGAAAAGCAGCAGGUUAAUACCCCGCUGUUCUGACGGUACCCAAAGAAUAAGCACCGGCUAACUUCGCG